GACGAACGCUGGCGGCGUGCUUAACACAUGCAAGUCGAACGAAGUGGCGAACGGGUGAGUAACGCGUAAUCAACCUGCCCUUCAGAGGGGGACAACAGUUGGAAACGACUGCUAAUACCGCAUACUGUAGGAGGGGAUUGCGUUGGAUUAGCUAGUUGGAGGGGUAACGGCCCACCAAGGCGAUGAUCAGUAGCCGGUCUGGGAGGAUGAACGGCCACAUUGGGACUGAGACAAGGCUCAGACUCCUAAGGGAGGCAGCAGGGGGGGAUCUUCCGCAAUGGACGAAAGUCUGACGGAGCAACGCCGCGGGAGUGAUGACGGCCUUCGGGUUGUAAAGCUCUGUUAAGCGGGACGCGGUACCGGAAUAGAAAGCCACGGCUAACUACGUGCCAGCAGCCGCGGUAAUUC
rnacentral:rRNA from 1 species